UGAAUACGAGACGCUAAGGCGUCGAAGUAGUGUAUGUCAUACUUCCAAGAAAAGCUUGCACUGUCAUAGAUAAAAAACGCCUGUACCAUAACCGACACAGGUGGGUAGGUAGAGUAUACUAAGGGGCGCGAGAUAACUCUCUCUAAGGAACUCGGCAAAAUAACUCCGUAACUUCGGGAGAAGGAGUGCCUUAUUUAUAAGGCUGCAAUAACAAGAUCCAAGCAACUGUUUAUCAAAAACACAGGUCUCCGCUAAGUCGUAAGACGAUGUAUGGGGGCUGACGCCUGCCCAGUGCCAGAAGGUUAAAGAAGUUGGUUAGCUUUUGCGAAGCUGAUAACUGAAGCCCUGGUGAACGGCGGCCGUAACUAUAACGGUCCUAAGGUAGCGAAAUUCCUUGUCGGGUAAGUUCCGACCCGCACGAAAGGCGUAAUGAUUUGGAUACUGUCUCGGAGAGGGGCUCGGUGAAAUAGACUUGUCUGUGAGGAUGCGGACUACCUGCACCAGGACAGAAGGACCCUAUGAAGCUUUACUGUAACUUGAAAUUGAAAUUGGACUUUAUUCGCGCAGCAUAGGUGGGAGGCGUUGAUUAUAAUCUCGUGGGAUUAUUGGAGCCAUCAGUGAGAUACCACUCUUGUAAUGUUAGAUUUCUAACUUUGAAUCAUUAUCUGGUCAAAGAACAGUUUCAGGCGGGCAGUUUGACUGGGGCGGUCGCCUCCUAAACGGUAACGGAGGCGUACAAAGGUUUCCUCUGAACGGUUAGAAAUCGUAUCUAGAGUGUAAAGGCAUAAGGAAGCUUGACUGUGAGACCUACAAGUCGAGCAGGGACGAAAGUCGGUCUUAGUGAUCUGACGGUACCGAGUGGAAAGGCCGUCACUCAACGGAUAAAAGUUACUCUAAGGAUAACAGGCUGAUCUCCCCCAAGAGUUCACAUCGACGGGGAGGUUUGGCACCUCGAUGUCGGCUCAUCGCAUCCUGGGGCGGUAGUACGUCCCAAGGGUUGGGCUGUUCGCCCAUGAAAGCGGUACGCGAGCUGGGUUCAGAACGUCGUGAGACAGUUCGGUCCAUAUCCGGUGUAGGCGUUAGAAUAUUGAGAGGAGCCUUCUUUAGUACGAGAGGACCGAGAAGGACAUACCUCUGGUGUACCAGUUAUCGUGCCAACGGUAAACGCUGGGUAGCUAUGUAUGGAGUGGAUAACCGCUGAAAGCAUCUAAGUGGGAAGCCCACCUCAAGAUAAGUAUUCCC
rnacentral:rRNA from 1 species